CCGAGAGGCGUAGGCGAUGGACAACGGGUUGAUAUUCCCGUACCCGUGUAUCCGCGCCCAAUGGCGAAUCAGUUGUGCUAAGUAUCCAAAUGUGGACGGAUCUCCUUCGGGAGACCUGAAGCGGCUGCAUACGACCCUGGCUGUAGUAGUCAAGCGAUGGGGUGACGCAGGAAGGUAGCUGGGCCAGGUGAUGGAAUACCUGGUGUAAGCCUGUAGGGCGUUGUGUAGGCAAAUCCGCACAGCAUUGAGCCUGAGAGGUGAUGCGUAGUCGUUGCGACGAAUUCAGUGAUCCUAUGCUGCCGAGAAAAGCCUCUAGUGAGUUGGUACACGGCCCGUACCCCAAACCGACACAGG
rnacentral:rRNA from 1 species